GGCGGCAGUCACGGGAUUAAGACGCCAGAAGCCUCGCGGGUUCGAAUCUCUCCCUGCGAGAUCUCGAGCACCUCCCUGCGUCUGCGGACUCAGUUUGCUCAGCUGCAAAGUGGGGGUGAGGAAGGCGCUUCCCGCCUGGCGAGGCGCAGCGGGUCCAACCGAAGUCGGGGCUCGGCCCCAGCCACGAGGAGAGGGUGAUGAGGAGAGAAGGCGCACCCCAUAACCAGCCGAGGCUCUCCGGCCCAUCCUGGCCCCCUGCACGGGGCAAGGAGCAAGCAGGACUUUCAUCCCCUGGAAAAUUUUCCUUAUGGAUAGUGUGAGUAACAAGUAUGAAGGCAGAAGAAGCAAGAGGCCAGUGUGGCUGCAGCGGGGGAGCCUGAAGAGCUUCCAAAAAGCCGUGAAAAAAAAUAAAAAGGAUAUACACUUACAGUGAUGAAAAGAACCAGGAGGGGAGAUAUCACGGCUAGACCUUUCAGCGAAUUUCUGGAAGCUAAAAAGUGGAUGGGAGAGAGGUGUUGAUGGAGCCGCUCAAGGGACCCUGGGCUUCCGCGCAGUCUGAGGGCUCUCUUGACGAAACGAUUUGCUCCCACAGAACCCACGAGAGCCUUCAUCUCAGAGAUGCCACCGUUUGCAAAGAAAGUGGGAGGGACCAGUGGGGCCUAAACCAAGCUGGCAGGAAAGCCACUGACUUCUGUCCCUCCCACACUACGCCUACACACAGACUGCAAAGAACAAUCAAAUAAUAAGAAGGGACUCUGAGGGGUGCCCGGGUGGCUCAGUGGGUUAAGGCCUCUGCCUUCGGCUUGGGUCGUGGUCC